UCCCAGUUCGGAUUGUAGUCUGCAACCCGACUACAUGAAGCUGGAAUCGCUAGUAAUCGCGGAUCAGAAUGCCGCGGUGAAUACGUUCCCGGGUCUUGUACACACCGCCCGUCACACCAUGGGAGUCGGAAAUGCCCGAAGUCAGUGACCCAACCGAAAGGAGGGAGCUGCCGAAGGUGGAGCCGGUAACUGGGGUGAAGUCGUAACAAGGUAGC
rnacentral:rRNA from 1 species